CUACGGGAGGCUCCAGCUAAGAAUCUUCCGCAAUGGGCGCAAGCCUGACGGAGCGACGCCGCGUGGACGAAGAAUGCCGAGAGGUUGUAAAGUCCUUUUAUAUGCGAAGAAUAAUAUCUAUAGGUAAUGAUAGAUAGAUGACGUUAGCUUAUGAAUAAGCUCCGGCCAAUUACGUGCCAGCAGCCGCGGUAACACGUAAGGAGCGAGCGUUGUUCGGAAUUAUUGGGCGUAAAGGGCAUGUAGGCGGUUUUGUAAGUCUGGUGUGAAAUACCGCUGCUUAACAGUGGAGACGCACUGGAAACUGUGAGACUAGAAUCAGUGAGGGGUAACCGGAAUUCCUAGUGUAGGGGUGAGAUCUGUUGAUAUUAGGAAGAACACCGAUGGCGAAGGCAGGUUACUGGCGCAUGAUUGACGCUGAUGUGCGAAAGCGUAGGGAGCGAACAGGAUUAGAUACCCCAGUAGUC
rnacentral:rRNA from 1 species